rnacentral:rRNA from 1 species
UUAGCGGCGGACGGGUGAGUAACACGUGGGUAACCUACCUAUAAGACUGGAAUAACUUCGGGAAACCGGAGCUAAUGCCGGAUAACAUAUAGAACCGCAUGGUUCUAUAGUGAAAGAUGGUUUUGCUAUCACUUAUAGAUGGACCCGCGCCGUAUUAGCUAGUUGGUAAGGUAAAGGCUUACCAAGGCGACGAUACGUAGCCGACCUGAGAGGGUGAUCGGCCACACUGGAACUGAGACACGGUCCAGACUCCUACGGGAGGCAGCAGUAGGGAAUCUUCCGCAAUGGGCGAAAGCCUGACGGAGCAACGCCGCGUGAGUGAUGAAGGUUUUCGGAUCGUAAAACUCUGUUAUUAGGGAAGAACAAAUGCGUAAGUAACUGUGCGCAUCUUGACGGUACCUAAUCAGAAAGCCACGGCUAACUACGUGCCAGCAGCCGCGGUAAUACGUAGGUGGCAAGCGUUAUCCGGAAUUAUUGGGCGUAAAGCGCGCGUAGGCGGUU